UGCUGAAAGCAUCUAAGCACGAAACUUGCCCCGAGAUGAGUUCUCCCUGAGACUUUAGGUCUCCUGAAGGAACGUUGAAGACGACGACGUUGAUAGGCCGGGUGUGUAAGCGCAGCGAUGCGUUGAGCUAACCGGUACUAAUGAACCGUGAGGCUUAACCUUAC
rnacentral:rRNA from 1 species